GAUAAUGGUGGCCAAAUGCACAGAAGGCUGAAAACAUAAAUUCCGGAGGAGAAAUUUGCUUUUAUCUGUUACACAACAUUUAGAAAUGACAUUAUACAGAAAGACAUUCGUAAAAGCAAAAGACAGCAGAGAAGGAGACUAAAUAGCCUGACUUGGUUGAAAGUGUUUAAAAUUCCAAAGUUGUACGUCAACUUUAUCAAUUCCUGGUUACAACGCCGUGUAAAUGUGUAAUGUGUCCCACCAUAUUUCUCAAGCUCUCUCAAGGCAGUAAACUCAGUACCCAGAUGUGUGCAAUAUGAAAAUUAGUUUAACAUCUGAAGGCAAGAGAUACUUAUAAAACCUACUGGAAACUGAAACCACUAUUCAAUCUCACGGCAAUGCAGUCAUAUAAAAACUCCAGCACCUUCUAAUGUGCUCUCACAGUGCACCGUGGAAGAAUAUCAUUGAAAGCUGAUGAUACGGAUAUGCUCUGUCUUACUUCCUUUUGUACAGUGUUAGUAGUGAGUAAGCUGAUGCAACAUAGGAGGAGGAAGAAUCUGGUUUAUUCACAUUUCCCAUAAUACCUAUCAUCUGCUGAAAAUCAUUUCCACUGCAAAAUUCCUCCUUUCCCCAAUCUCUAAUAUCCGCACCUACUUCCCUUUUCUCAUGAAAGACACAAUAAACAAAUUG